GCAGGUAAAGAUAAAGUGUGAUCG
rnacentral:siRNA from 1 species